rnacentral:rRNA from 1 species
CCUACGUGAGUCAGCAGUGAGGAAUAUUGGUCAAUGGGCGCGAGCCUGAACCAGCCAAGUAGCGUGAAGGAUGACUGCCCUACGGGUUGUAAACUUCUUUUAUAAAGGAAUAAAGUGAGGCACGUGUGCCUUUUUGUAUGUACUUUAUGAAUAAUGAUCGGCUAACUCCGUGCCAGCAGCCGCGGUAAUACGGAGGAUACGAGCGUUAUCCGGAUUUAUUGGGUUUAAAGGGAGCGUAGAUGGGUUGUUAAGUCAGUUGUGAAAGUUUGCGGCUCAACCGUAAAAUUGCAAUUGAUACUGGCAGUCUUGAGUACAGUUGAGGUAGGCGGAAUUCGUGGUGUAGCGGUGAAAUGCUUAGAUAUCACGAAGAACUCCGAUUGCGAAGGCAGCUUACUAAACUGCCACUGACAUUGAUGCUCGAAAGUGUGGGUAUCAAACAGGAUUAGAUACCCUGGUAGUC